UGGGGAAUAUUGGACAAUGGAGGAAACUCUGAUCCAGCAAUUCUGUGUGUGUGAAGAAGGUUUUAGGACUGUAAAACACUUUUAGUAGGGAAGAAAAAAAUGACGGUACCUACAGAAGAAGCAACGGCUAAAUACGUGCCAGCAGCCGCGGUAAUACGUAUGUUGCGAGCGUUAUCCGGAAUUAUUGGGCUUAAAGGGCAUCUAGGCGGUAAGACAAGUUGAAGGUGAAAACCUGUGGCUCAACCAUAGGCUUGCCUACAAAACUGUUGAAUUAGAGUACCGGAAAGGUGGGUGGAACUACACGAGUAGAGGUGAAAUUCGUAGAUAUGUGUAGGAAUGCCGAUGAUGAAGAUAACUCACUGGACAGAAACUGACGCUGAAGUGCGAAAGCUAGGGGAGCAAACAGG
rnacentral:rRNA from 1 species